rnacentral:lncRNA from 12 species
AUGUUUUUGCUAUUUUUUGUAUCAUUGUACCCUUUUCUAAGUGAUGCCCGACGAGAAAUCCAUCACCUCUGCUACAUGGUUUCCGUUCAAACUCCCAAAGCACAAACUUCCUUCAGAUCUGUGGCUGUAUGUGAUCACAUGCGGACCACUUACUACAGUAAUGAAUAUCAAAUCUGGAUAAGAGAGAGUCUGACUAUAGAUGAACCACCUGGUUCUACACUCUCAGAAAUAAAGGUACAGUGCGGGUACAAUUAAGUACUUUAAGGUACAAAUUUCACAAAUGUGCCAGCAAAGGAACAAACAUGUAUCCAGCUGAGUACCAAAAAGUACCUUUCCAAAGAAAAGGGGUACACAAUGAAAUAUGCAUGGUGAAAGGUACAUAUAUGUACCCUUUGAAAAGGUACAUUGUCAUAUAAAGUAAUAGUUAAGGUACAACAUUCACAAAUGUACCAUUAAAGGUCCUAUCGUGUUCCCAUGGGGUACUUAGAAGUACCUUUUGGGUACACAUCCUGUAGGGUACAAAAAAGUACCUUAUUCAAGUCAAAGGGUACACUUCCUGUGGGGUACUAAGAAGUACUUUUCAAGUUACAGGGUACACAAUCCUCUGGGGUAGCAGCUACUUGUGCGUGCCUUUUCUAAGACUGAUAGAGCCUUUGUCAUAAUUUGUAAAUGUGGUAUGCUGAAUAAUCCUUUGUGAUAAGUGCAUAAUUAUUAUCACUAUCAGUUUUCGUAAGUGUUUUCAUUUGUUUCUGCUAAGGAAUUAUUUACAGAUUUAUACUCGAUUUUUAUAAUUAUUAUCAUUAUUGUUUUCAUUUAAAUAAUUGUUGCAUAUAUUUUGGGUUCUAUAAUAAGCACUAUUGGUUCAAAUGAAUUCAAUAUAUAUUAUUAUAGUUAAGAUGGAUGUGUGUGCUUGUUUGUGCGGGCGUGGGCGCGGCAUUGCGCGCAUUUAGAGAAGGAGUUCUCGCGAUACGUUUCAUUCAAGAUAAGCAACGCUGAUGAUUGCAUCGCUUAAACUUGUUAAUAUCAUCCUUUACAGGUAACGAAU